rfam:Eubacterium dolichum CAG:375 genomic scaffold, scf9
AAAAAGGUUAAUCACAAGAAGUCAGCUGAAGUCAUAGUAGGUAUUUUGCACCAAAUACUGAAGGAC